rnacentral:snoRNA from 1 species
GCGGGGGAUGACAGACAACACGACAACAAAGCACAGUUUGAGCUGAUGCACCGCUG